GAUGAACGCUGGCGGCGUGCUUAACACAUGCAAGUCGAACGGAAAGGCUCCUGCUUGCAGGGGUACUCGAGUGGCGAACGGGUGAGUAACACGUGGGUGAUCUGCCCUGCACUUCGGGAUAAGCCUGGGAAACUGGGUCUAAUACCGGAUAGGACGAUGGUUUGGAUGCCAUUGUGGAAAGUUUUUUCGGUGUGGGAUGAGCUCGCGGCCUAUCAGCUUGUUGGUGGGGUAAUGGCCUACCAAGGCGUCGACGGGUAGCCGGCCUGAGAGGGUGUACGGCCACAUUGGGACUGAGAUACGGCCCAGACUCCUACGGGAGGCAGCAGUGGGGAAUAUUGCACAAUGGGCGCAAGCCUGAUGCAGCGACGCCGCGUGGGGGAUGACGGCCUUCGGGUUGUAAACUCCUUUCGCUAGGGACGAAGCGAAAGUGACGGUACCUGGAGAAGAAGCACCGGCUAACUACGUG
rnacentral:rRNA from 1 species